rnacentral:rRNA from 1 species
GUAUAAGAGACAGCAGUAGCCGCGGGAAUACGGAGGGUGCAAGCGUUAAUCGGAAUUACUGGGCGUAAAGCGCACGCAGGCGGUCUGACAAGUCAGAUGUGAAAUCCCCGGGCUUAACCUGGGAACUGCAUUUGAAACUGUCAGGCUGGAGUCUUGUAGAGGGGGGUGGAAUUCCAGGUGUAGCGGUGAAAUGCGUAGAGAUCUGGAGGAAUACCGGUGGCGAAGGCGGCCCCCUGGACAAAGACUGACGCUCAGGUGCGAAAGCGUGGGGAGCAAACAGGAUUAGAUACCCCAGUAGUCCCUGUCUCUUAUAC